rnacentral:lncRNA from 1 species
UCAAGAGGCCAUCUCUAAGCUGAACCUGAUCACAAAAAAGCAUCCUCAAUCAUACAAGCUAUCAUGGUUUUGAAAAAAGAGUGAGAUGGUUGUCCAUAAUCGCUGUCUUGUCUCAUUUUCUAUCGGACAAAAAUACUUCAACGAAAUUUGCUGCAACGUCGUUGCUAUGGAUGCUUGUCAUCUAUUUUUAGGAAGACCUUGGCAGUAUGAUCACAGCAUUACCUAUGAUGGUCACCGAAAUACCUAUACAUUCUAGAAGGACCGUCAGGAGAUUACUCUGGCAGGGAUGAAGAAGAAAGAUCUGUCUACUCCAAAGCUAGAGACCAGCAUCAACUUUUUGAUGAAUUACUCUUACUUGCAGGAAGCACUGGAUUCUUCAAACUCAAAGAUAAGUUCUUUCCAGUUAGGAGAGUAUGACGCAAAUGUCUUAGCUGGUGCAAACCAUAAUUUGAAGAAACGGAUUCGAAAGGUCAAAAAAUUGGACUGACUGCACCUAACUCUAUUGAUUUUGACACUGUUGAGCUAGAAUGGUCAUAAUUUUCUCAGCCGAUGUCAGAAUCUCUAUUAUGACUCCAUUUCAAAAAGCUCUUUUCGUGCUCCACGAGACUGGUGCUUCACCGUCACUCCGAAUUUUGGAGUCUAAUUUUAUUGUUUGACAGGUCAAUAGGAGACCGAAAGAAUUCUAAUCGAAUUAGGAGUUUCAAUCCUUAUAUUAAUCUUUUUUUUUUACUUUGUUUCUGAAUCCUUUUGCUAUUAGGUUAGGACUUUUACUCUAUAAGUAAAACCUCUUUGGCCAACACUGUAAUCAAUUGAGAAUAUUUUCGUGUUACUGAAUCAAAAGAGAAGAGUUUCUUCCUUUGCCAUUUUCUUUUGUUUCGUGCAUCUUCUUUCUCUCUCCAUCGAAAUGUGGCUUAGGCUGCGUUAGUUGAUACAGAGCCCAACCGAUCUUUAUGCGGUGAUUCUUCUCUACAGUCCUGAUGACGGAUGAUGGUCGUAAGAAGAACCAACCUACAAAUCAGACGGCGGCGGCACAUGAUAAAAUCAUGCAGCAAGAAUGGGAUCUGAUGAUAAAGUAUAAAAAUUUGAGCAGACAGGUGGCAAAAUUAACUGCACGUCUUAUGCAGUUGAAAAAUUGGGAUGCGAGAUCCAAAGUGGAACUAGAAGAUCACAGAUCUGAUGGAGAAGCUUCAAAUUUUGAGAAUCCCUUCCGCCGAGGUAUUCCCAUCCACAGACGAGAAGAUCGUGGCGAGUCAUUCGAGCGGUCAACCCGCUGGUUUGAUUCCAUCAAAAUAGAUCUACUUAAAUAUUUAGGUAGUCUACAAAUGGAGGUGUUCCUCGAUUGGCUGGAUCAGAUCGAGUGCAACUCCGAAAACAAGGAGAUUUUAGACAACAAAGUGAAGCUUAUCACGCUGAAGUUAAUGGAUCAGACUUCUACCUGGUGGCAACGGCUAAAGAAAAUCAGGAAGUGCAGAGGCAAGCCAAAAAUCCAGGAUUGGAAGAAGAUGAAGAAGACAUUAAGGAAGCAAUUCUUGCCCUUCAACUACAAGCAGUCCUUGUACCAACGUCUGCAAAAUCUCCAACAAGAUCCUAGAUCCGUGGAUGAAUACACAGAAAAAUCUACCAACUAAUCAUCAGAAACGACCUGGUGGAGAUCAAAGAGCAGAUGGUGGUGAGAUAUCUGGAUGGCUUAAGACAACAGAUCCAAGAUACCUUGAGACUCCACUCCCUGUGGAUGGUCAAGAAAGUAUACCACCAUGCUAUAAUCGCUGAGGAGUAGCUGCAAUGAAGACCUAUAUCUAGAUCUGAUCUUAUCCCACAGAGCAAUCAAGCAUCAAAUAAUCAGAGGGACGUGCGAUGCAACCCAACUUCUACCCCUCCUGUUCGUGAUGCUAUUGAUACAAAGUCCUCAAAGCCAACUCUGGCUGGAUCUUCUACAUUGCGGUGCUACAACUAUGGCGAGAUCGGACAAAUGCGAAGCAAGCGUAAGAAGCCUGCUGGACGAUCCAAAAAGCAAUUGCUGAUUGAAGAAGAAAAGCUAUUUGAUGAGGAUUAAAAGCCUAUCUAUGAAGCAGGCGAAGAGGACGAUGAUUCUCUACUUGUUGGAGAUAAAGGAGAGGCUUUAGUUAUUCGGAAGAGCCUGCUUGCUCCCAAAAAGGAGGAAAAAAAUUGAAGACAGACUAAUAACAUUCACACCUGCUACAUUAAAGAAAAAGUCUACAAGAUCAUCAUCGAUGGAGAUAGCUAUGAGAAUAUCAUCUCUCAAGAGGUCAUCUUUAAGCUGAAUCUAAUCACAAAAAAGCAUUCUCAGCCAUACAAGCUAUCAUGGUUCUAGAAAGGGAGCGAGGUGGUUGUCAAUAAUCGCUGUCUUGUCUCGUUUUCUAUCGAAUAAAAAUACUUUGACGAAGUUUACUACAACGUCGUUGCCAUGGAUGCUUGUCAUUUGCUUUUAGAAAGAUCUUGACAGUAUGAUCGCAGUGUCAUCUAUGAUGGUCGCCGGAAUACUUACAUAUUCUAGAAGGACCAUCAAAAGAUUACUCUAGCACCGAUGAAGAAGAAAGAUCUGCCGACUCCAACACUAAAGACCAGCAUCAACCUUCUAAUGAAUUACUCUUGCAGGAGCAUUGAAUUAUUCAAACUCAAGAAUGAGUUCUCUCAAACUUGGAGAGUAUGACGCAAACAUCUUAGCUAAUACAAAUCGUAAUUUGAAGAAACGGAUCUAAAAGAUCAAGAAACCAGACUGACUGCACCUAACCCUGUCGAUUUUGAUACUGCUGAGCUAGAACGGUCAUAACUUUCUCAUCCAGUAUCAGAAUUGCUAUUAUGACCCUAUUUUGAAAAGUUUUUUUCAUGCUCUAUGAGGCUGGAACUUUGCCGGCACUCCAAAUUUUGGAGCCUAAUUCUAUUGUUUGAUAGAUCAACGAGAGCUCAAAAGAAUCCUAGUCGGAUUGAGAGUCUCAAUCCUUAUAUUAAUCUUUUUUCUAUUUUAUUUAUGAGUCUUUUUGCUAUUAGAUUAGGACUUUUGCUCGAUAAAUAAGGCUCCUUUGACCAACGUUGUAAUCAGUUGAGAAUAUUUUUGUGUUAUUGAAUCAAAAGAGAAGAGAGUUUCUUCUUCCUUUGAUUUGUGCAUCUUCUUUCUCUCUCCAUCGAAACGUGGCUUAAGCUGCGUCAAUAUUCCUCCAAUUUAAGAGUGUCACCACAACUCAUUUAUUUAAUGAAAUAGUGAUUUCAAAUUCUAUUACUUGUGGUUAGAGCUAUCAAGACGGGCCGACCUGCCCCAACCCAUCCCGAUCCACCUCUAAACGGGUUGGGGUGGGCUGGCCCGUUUAACUGACGGGUUGGAAAAACCCCAAUCCGACCCGAUCUGUCAUGGGCCGCAGGUUAAACAGACCAACCCGUCAAAAUUUUAAACAAAAAAUCCUAUAAAUAGUAAUAUGAACUGAAUUUCAUAUUUGAUUUGAGCUCGAAUCAACCUAUCAAAAUUUCACAUCUUAAUUCUUAGAGUCAUAAAAUGAAAUUGUCAACUUAAACUAAAUACUUAAUACAACCC